CUUGUACUCCAUCCGUUCGAAAAUACUUGUCAUUGAAAUGGAUGUAUCUAGAUGUAUUUUAGUUCUAGACACAUCCAUUUUGAUGACAAGUAAUUCCGGACGGAGGGAGUACUUG
rnacentral:pre_miRNA from 1 species